CGGUACUUUGAUUAAUGGGUUGUGUAGGGAGGGGAAGAUUGAUGAGGGUUUAAGGCUUCGAGUUGAGAUGAAAGCCCUAAACUUGGUGCCUGAUCUGGCUACUUAUAAUACUUUGAUUGAUGGAU
rnacentral:miRNA from 1 species